rnacentral:rRNA from 1 species
UACGAAGGGGGGCUAGCGUUGCUCGGAAUCACUGGGCGUAAAGGGCGCGUAGGCGGCCGGCCAAGUCGGGGGUGAAAGCCUGUGGCUCAACCACAGAAUGGCCCUCGAUACUGGACGGCUCGAGACCGGAAGAGGUUGGUGGAAUUGCGAGUGUAGAGGUGAAAUUCGUAGAUAUUCGGAGGAACACCAGAAGCGAAGGCGGGCUACUGGGCUGAUACUGACGCUGAUGCGCGAAAGCGUGGGGAGCGAACAGG